rnacentral:tRNA from 1 species
GAAGUGUGCCCGAGAAUUAGGGACUAUUUUGAUGGAGUAGCUACAGAGAUUAAACCUCUCACUUCCA